ensembl:lncRNA
AUGACUCCCAAAUCUGCGGAGCUCCCACCUUGCUCCGUCUCGUGGGCUGCAGACCCACUGGCGCAACACUGUUCACCUCCACUUGGAUAUUCCACAGUCACAUCAAGCAAAACUCAUCAUCUGUGCAUCCACUUGGAUGUUCCACAGUCACAUCAGGCGAAACUCAUCAUCUGUGCAUCCACUUGGAUGUUCCACAGUCACAUCAAGCGAAACUCAUCAUCUGUGCAUCCACUUGGAUGUUCCACAGUCACAUCAAGCGAAACUCAUCAUCUGUGCAUCCACUUGGAUGUUCCACAGUCACAUCAGGCAAAACUCAUCAUCUGUGCAUCCACUUGGAUGUUCCACAGUCACAUCAGGCGAAACUCAUCAUCUGUGCAUCCACUUGGAUGUUCCACAGUCACAUCAAGCGAAACUCAUCAUCUGUGCAUCCACUUGGAUGUUCCACAGUCACAUCAAGCGAAACUCAUCAUCUGUGCAUCCACUUGGAUGUUCCACAGUCACAUCAAGCAAAACUCAUCAUCUGUGCAUCCACUUGGAUGUUCCACAGUCACAUCAGGCGAAACUCAUCAUCUGUGCAUCCACUUGGAUGUUCCACAGUCACAUCAAGCGAAACUCAUCAUCUGUGCAUCCACUUGGAUGUUCCACAGUCACAUCAAGCGAAACUCAUCAUCUGUGCAUCCACUUGGAUGUUCCACAGUCACAUCAGGCGAAACUCAUCAUCUGUGCAUCCACUUGGAUGUUCCACAGUCACAUCAGGCGAAACUCAUCAUCUGUGCAUCCACUUGGAUGUUCCACAGUCACAUCAGGCGAAACUCAUCAUCUGUGCAUCCACUUGGAUGUUCCACAGUCACAUCAAGCGAAACUCAUCAUCUGUGCAUCCACUUGGAUUUUCCACAGUCACAUCAAGCGAAACUCAUCAUCUGUGCAUCCACUUGGAUGUUCCACAGUCACAUCAAGCGAAACUCAUCAUCUGUGCAUCCACUUGGAUGUUCCACAGUCACAUCAAGCGAAACUCAUCAUCUGUGCAUCCACUUGGAUGUUCCACAGUCACAUCAAGCGAAACUCAUCAUCUGUGCAUCCACUUGGAUGUUCCACAGUCACAUCAAGCGAAACUCAUCAUCUGUGCAUCCACUUGGAUAUUCCACAGUCACAUCAAGCGAAACUCAUCAUCUGUGCAUCCACUUGGAUGUUCCACAGUCACAUCAGGUGAAACUCAUCAUCUGUGCAUCCACUUGGAUGUUCCACAGUCACAUCAGGCGAAACUCAUCAUCUGUGCAUCCACUUGGAUAUUCCACAGUCACAUCAAGCGAAACUCAUCAUCUGUGCAUCCACUUGAAUAUUCCAGUCACAUCAAGCGAAACUCAUCAUCUGUGCAUCCACUUGGAUGUUCCACAGUCACAUCAAGCGAAACUCAUCAUCUGUGCAUCCACUUGGAUGUUCCACAGUCACAUCAAGCGAAACUCAUCAUCUGUGCAUCCACUUGGAUGUUCCAGUCACAUCAAGCGAAACUCAUCAUCUGUGCAUCCACUUGGAUGUUCCAGUCACAUCAAGCGAAACUCAUCAUCUGUGCAUCCACUUGAAUAUUCCAGUCACAUCAAGCGAAACUCAUCAUCUGUGCAUCCACUUGGAUGUUCCACAGUCACAUCAAGCGAAACUCAUCAUCUGUGCAUCCACUUGGAUGUUCCACAGUCACAUCAAGCGAAACUCAUCAUCUGUGCAUCCACUUGGAUGUUCCACAGUCACAUCAAGCGAAACUCAUCAUCUGUGCAUCCACUUGGAUAUUCCACAGUCACAUCAAGCGAAACUCAUCAUCUGUGCAUCCACUUGGAUAUUCCACAGUCACAUCAAGCGAAACUCAUCAUCUGUGCAUCCACUUGGAUGUUCCACAGUCACAUCAAGCGAAACUCAUCAUCUGUGCAUCACUCAAUGCAAAGCAGCUACCACUCCUCCUGUGCUCCACGUUUCUGA